rnacentral:rRNA from 1 species
UGGGGAAUAUUGGGCAAUGGGCGAAAGCCUGACCCAGCGACGCCGCGUGAGGGACGAAGGCCUUCUGGGUUGUAUAACCUCUUUCAGUAGGGAAGAAGCGAAAGUGACGGUAUCCUACAGAAGAAGCACCGGCUAACUACGUG